GAUGAACGCUGGCGGCGUGCCUAAUACAUGCAAGUCGAGCGAACAGAUGAGGAGCUUGCUCCUCUGACGUUAGCGGCGGACGGGUGAGUAACACGUGGAUAACCUACCUAUAAGACUGGGAUAACUUCGGGAAACCGGAGCUAAUACCGGAUAAUAUAUUGAACCGCAUGGUUCAAUAGUGAAAGACGGUUUUGCUGUCACUUAUAGAUGGAUCCGCGCCGCAUUAGCUAGUUGGUAAGGUAACGGCUUACCAAGGCGACGAUGCGUAGCCGACCGGAGAGGGUGAUCGACCACACUGGAACUGAGACACGGUCCAGACUCCAACGGGAGGCAGCAGUAGGGAAUCUUCCGCAAUGGGCGAAAGCCUGACGGAGCAACGCCGAGUGAGUGAUGAAGGUCGUCGGAUCGUAAAAAUCUGUUAUUAGGGAGGAACAAAUGUGUAAGUAACUAUACACGUCUUGACGGUACCUAAUCAGAAAGCCACGGCUAACUACGUG
rnacentral:rRNA from 1 species